rnacentral:lncRNA from 12 species
UGGCGCUCUCAUCUUUGGGGUUCUCCUCCAUAGUUCCCGUCCAGCAGGAGCGCCAGUGACACUGAAGCGCGCGGGCGAGCGCACAGGAGCGCGUGCUGUUGAUCGCAAAUGACACUCAGGCACUUACAACACAUUCACUUUAUCUGUGAUACUACUGACAUUAUUCAGGGGGUCUUUCACUGAACCUUAACCUUGAAGUAUCCUAAACUAAACCUACCGGACCAUUUGUUUUUAUUGAAUAAAAUAGCUCUCUAGGGGGGAAAACGUGAGGUAAAAUCGGAAGAAUAGCCCACCAACAAGGGCUACCUGUGAAAUAAACGUGACUGCAUCUGAUUCACUCUUUAAAGACUUAAUGACCUGAUAGUAACCUAAGAAAUAUCCAGUAAACGAACACAUAAUUGCAGAAUUGACAGAUGCGCCUCCCUCUGGAGAAAGUCCGUAAUUAUAAGGAAUUUGGACAUAUGGAGAGCCCCAUGACCAAUCAGGAACGCACUCGAAGCAUUCUACUGGAACAAGCCUUGAAGAUCAGGGACGAUGUGAUGACUGCAACCCAGGGUUCAGUCCGGAUGGAGUCUUCUGCUAGAAAACUACUGGAGAACCACAUUCGGAUCAUAACUCACAUUGUCAAACAGCUCAGCAAAGACAUCCAGGUGCAAAUGUAACAUUUACGAUGACAUAUUAUAUUAUAUUAUAUUAUAUUAUAUUAUAUUAUAUUAUAUUAUAUUAUAUUAUAUUAUAUUAUAUUAUAUUAUAUUAUAUUUGUACUGGAUAACAGUCAUAAGUCAUAUUUCUUCAGCAACUGUAUUUAAUGCUGUUACUGGCCUAUCCACUAGGGGAGCCCUACUCCUCAGUUGAGAUCUUUACUGUACAAACCCCUUCACAUCUUCAAAUCAUAAUUCAGUACAAAUCAGAGGACAGCGUAUGUCAGUUUUAGUUCACAAUCUGCAGUGCUCAAAAAUCAUAUUUAAAUGAAUCAUCUAUGUUGUCAUUUUCCUUUUGUCACAACAUCACAGUUAAAGCAAAGCUUAAAUUACAUUAAAUUUUCAGUUCUAAUAAAAGUAAAAACAUAAUAUAGGUUUUUUUGUAAAUGCAUUUUUUACAUUUACUUUACAUUUAUUUUUAAGAAGAUUUCCUCAAUAUUCUAGCGGAAGAAAAAAAAAUAGUCUAAUGAAUUCAAAUAAUCAGAGAGACAUAAUGUGUCUUUUGCAUACAUGCAACUAUGUUUCAAAACUGCUUUUUAAGUCCUGCUGUGUGAUUCUCUCUUUCAUCACUUCUCUUCUCUUCUCCCACACCCUCUCUCUCCUGCUCACUCAAGAAUUUCCCCAGCAUGUACGUUUACACACUUAAAUAAAUAUAUAAAUGUAUAGUGUAAGUCAAGACAAUCCCAUGUUGGUCUAAACAUGAGAAUUCAUCCAU